rnacentral:rRNA from 1 species
GACGUAGGAGGCGAGCGUUGUCCGGAUUCAUUGGGCGUAAAGAGCACGCAGGCGGUUUGGCAAGUCGGAUGUGAAAACCCGAAGCUCAACUUCGGGCCUGCAUCCGAAACUGCCCGACUAGAGGUAGGUAGGGGAGAUCGGAAUUCCUGGUGUAGCGGUGAAAUGCGCAGAUAUCAGGAGGAACACCGGUGGCGAAGGCGGAUCUCUGGGGCCUUACCUGACGCUCAGGUGCGAAAGCUAGGGGAGCGAACAGG